rnacentral:lncRNA from 1 species
ACCUACCAUCACAAACGUUAACACUCAACAAAAACACUACAACAUACUACUACUUGGUUACAUUUUAAGGAGGAAGAUGAAGAACACAAAUAAUAAUUUCCAAAUUUAAGAGGAAAUAAGAAAUUUCUGAGAGUGUAUUGGUGGUUAAAACAUGAAGUUAUAAAAUGGAAAAAAAUGUUUUGACAGUUGGUGCAGAGUUUUUUAAGGAAAUGUGAUGUGGAAGAGUAAGGGGAAAACAAAAGAAAGAUGAAAGUAUAUUAUUAAAAAGUAAAGAGAGAUGAGAGGUGGGUGAGGCCCUACGGUUUGAAUGUGUAUCAAACGCAACUAUCCUAAACUCCAACUUUCCCAUGACUCUGACAACUGACAACCUCACUUUGAGAUAGAGCCACACUGUUCUCCGCCUAUCUCGC